CUCUUUUUGAUUAUAUUUAAAGUAUGGCCUGCCCAAUGAUGAGAAUUGAAUGGCCGCGGUAAUUUGACCGUGCAAAGGUAGCAUAAUCAUUAGUCUUUUAAUUGUUGGCUGGAAUGAAUGGCUUGACGAGAUAUUUACUGUCUUUUUAUAUUAAUCUUAGAAUUUAAUUAUUUAGUGAUAAGGCUAAAAUGUUAUUAUGGGACGAGAAGACCCUAUAGAAUUUUAUUAUUAUAUUUUAUUGUUGUUUAUAAUUAUAAAUAGGUUAUAAUAAUUAUAUUGGGGUGAUAGGGAUAUAUAAAUAACUUUCCUUUAAGUAUACAUAUUGAUAUAUAUAUAUAUAUGAUCCUUUUUUUUUGAUUAUAAGAUUUAAUUACCUUAGGGAUAACAGCGUAAUUUUUUUUGAGAGUUCAUAUUGACAAUAAAGAUUGCGA
rnacentral:rRNA from 1 species